UUGACUUAAUAACUUAAUGAUUGAAAAAUUUCAUUAAGUUAAAAAGAUAAACGAUUUCAUAAAAUUAAAUCAAUUAUGUCAUUAAAUGAAAAAGACAAAUAGCCCCCUAACAUUUUGUUGACACUAUAUUAUCACAAGUUAUAGAGGUAACAAUACUAAUGGUUAUUUAGGUAAAGAUAGCAAUUAAUUAACUAAAUAGGAAUACUUUAAAGAAUAUAUUUUAAUGGUAACAUUAAAACUUUUUAAAUUAAACAAAAUGCAUAAAAUUUUAACUUAAUAACUUAAUAAUUAAAGUUUUUCAUUAAAUUAAAAAAAUAAACGAUUUCAUAAAAUUAAAUCAAUAAUGUCAUUGAAUCAAAAAGACAAAUAGCCCCUAACAUUGUAGACUUUUAUAUAGUACCGCAUCCAACUCAUAUUCGAUGUGGCCCACGCAAUCUUUUCAAAUAACAAGAACCAUGCAAAAAGGUCAGUCUAUAAAUAAUGAAAAUGGCCGGAAAAUAUCUCACAUCAAUAGUUCCUAAACCAAUAAUACAAGUUUGAUAUAAUUUUUAACUCGUAAAGUUAUCUUUUCAACAUGAAUUAGCGAAAUAUACAUCUUAAGUGUGUCCAGCCAUCGAGUCUUUCUAUUAUAAAUUACGCUUGCGAACAGAAGAAACUUAACACUCAUCCAAUGCACUUAUAAGAAAGUUGUAUUUCAAAUGAUUUAUUCAUUUGAUUAUCAUUUAUUUCACUACUCUACCUGGAAUGGAGCAUUUUUACACUUUUUUUUUUCUUUUCUUUUAAACAUAUGCCGGAGUGGAAGAUUGGAAUAUAUAAUUUAUUUGCGCAUAAAUUCUUUUAAAUGCCAGCCCAUCAAGCAAGGCAUCUGAUUCCAAGUGAAGAAAUAAUAUGUUCUCUGCAUUUCGUUUUCUACUAGCAUUUGGCAACAUUAUUGCUGAUUUGCCAUUAAAUUGGUAACUCUCAAAAUUUAAAAGAACGUAUAUAACUAUUUUUUAGAAAGGUAGUGAUGGAGUAAGGUAGUGGAAGUAGAUUGAUAGCAUAGAUAAUACUAAAUAUCGUUAUACUAUCAGACCAAGCCAAUGCAAUAGGUUUAUGUUUUAAUCGAAGUGUGAUUAUAUUUUGUUUUAAUCUAAAUGACUCAAUGAAAUUUUAAUAACAUUUUAAGUGAGAUUAGAUGACAUUCUAAUACAAACGAGUUUAGAAGAGAGAUUUUAACAGAUAAUUCUAAAGGAAAUUUUAAAGGAGUGAUUUUUUUAUU
rnacentral:lncRNA from 1 species